CGCGAAUUCGCCCUUCGGGGUGCAGCAGGCGCGAAAACUCUACCAUGUAGGCAACUGCGAUAGGGGGACAUCGAGUGGCAUCCACCUUGGGUGCCUGUCCAACCGUCUAAAAAACGGUUGUUAGCAAGGGCCGGGUAAGUCCGGUGCCAGCCGCCGCGGUAAUACCGGCGGCUCGAGUGGUGGCCGAUAUUAUUGAGUCUAAAGGGUCCGUAGCCGGCUUUGCAAGUCCCCUGGGAAAUCCAGCGGCUUAACCGUUGGGCUUUCAUGGGAUACUACAUUGCUUGGGACUGGGAGAGGUAGGAGGUACUCGGGGGGUAGGGGUGAAAUCCUGUAAUUCUCCGGGGACCACCGGUGGCGAAGGCGUCCUACCAGAACAGGUCCGACGGUGAGGGACGAAAGCUAGGGGCACGAACCGGAUUAGAUACCCGGGUAGUCCUAGCCGUAAACGAUGCCCGCUAGGUGUCACGACGGUCGUGAAUCGUCGUGGUGCCGUAGGGAAGCCGCGAAGCGGGCCACUUGGGAAGUACGGCCGCAAGGCUGAAACUUAAAGGAAUUGGCGGGGGAGCAC
rnacentral:rRNA from 1 species